UUCUAGAGCAGUAUCUUAAUGGGGG
rnacentral:piRNA from 1 species